UGCUGGCAACUGUGGGAAUAAAGU
rnacentral:piRNA from 1 species